rnacentral:rRNA from 1 species
GCUCAGUAACACGUGGAUAACCUGCCCUUGGGUCCGGCAUAACCCCGGGAAACUGGGGAUAAUUCCGGAUAGCGCACAUAUGCUGGAAUGCUUUAUGCGUAAAAUGGAUUCGUCUGCCCAAGGAUGGGUCUGCGGCCUAUCAGGUAGUAGUGGGUGUAAUGUACCUACUAGCCUACAACGGGUACGGGUUGUGAGAGCAAGAGCCCGGAGAUGGAUUCUGAGACAUGAAUCCAGGCCCUACGGGGCGCAGCAGGCGCGAAAACUUUACAAUGCGGGAAACCGUGAUAAGGGGACACCGAGUGCCAGCAUCAUAUGCUGGCUGUCCAGAUGUGUAAAAUACAUCUGUUAGCAAGGGCCGGGCAAGACCGGUGCCAGCCGCCGCGGUAACACCGGCGGCCCGAGUGGUGAUCGUGAUUAUUGGGUCUAAAGGGUCCGUAGCCGGUUUGGUCAGUCCUCCGGGAAAUCUGAUGGCUCAACCAUUAGGCUUUCGGGGGAUACUGCCAGGCUUGGAACCGGGAGAGGUAAGAGGUACUACAGGGGUAGGAGUGAAAUCUUGUAAUCCCUGCGGGACCACCUGUGGCGAAGGCGUCUUACCAGAACGGGUUCGACGGUGAGGGACGAAAGCUGGGGGCACGAACCGGAUUAGAUACCCGGGUAGUCCCAGCCGUAAACGAUGCUCGCUAGGUGUCAGGCAUGGCGCGACCGUGUCUGGUGCCGCAGGGAAGCCGUGAAGCGAGCCACCUGGGAAGUACGGCCGCAAGGCUGAAACUUAAAGGAAUUGGCGGGGGAGCAC